rnacentral:rRNA from 1 species
UACGUAGGGGGCAAGCGUUGUCCGGAUUUAUUGGGCGUAAAGAGCGUGUAGGCGGCUAGGUAGGUCCGUUGUGAAAACUCGAGGCUCAACCUCGAGCUGUCGAUGGAAACCAUCUAGCUAGAGUCCGGAAGAGGAGAGUGGAAUUCCUGGUGUAGCGGUGAAAUGUGUAGAGGUCGGGAGGAACACCGGUGGCGAAGGCGGGUCUCUGGGCAACUCCUGACGCUGAGGCGCGAAAGCGUGGGGAGCAAACGGG